GUGGGAAUAGCUCAGUGGCAGAGCACAUGCUUAGCAUGCACAAGGUUUUGGGUUCAAUCCCCAGCACCUCCA
rnacentral:tRNA from 1 species